AUCAAAAUCCCAUUGAAAAUUUUCUCCAAACUAAACCAUCUUCUUUUCAGUUUACAACUAUUGAUUAUCACCAAAUCGCCUUCAAAUCAGUUUCAUUCAAAUCACCUUCUCAAAUUAAUUUCAUCUUAGGGCUUCAACUCAUCUUCUCAAAUCAAUUUCAUCUUAGGGCUUCAAAUCAUCUUCUGAAAAAGAUUUAGGGUUUCAGCUCGUGAGUAGCCCAGAGCGAACAAAGGAACAUAGCACUUUCAUUGAACGCAACUUUCAGCUUGUGAUUCGGUAUUGGAUUCGCCUAUUUUAGAAGGUAAAUAUUACUGAUAAGUCAAUUUUGAUGUUUUCAAUGCUUAUGAUUAGCAAUAGAUUAUUGUUUAUGAUUCGGUGCUUCGAUUUGACAUUUCAAUUCAAAGUUUCGAUUCAGUGUUUUGAUUUGGUAUUUCCAUUCGGCGUUUUGAUUUAGUAUUUUGAUUCGGCAUUUCGGUUCAGCACUUGAACUAUUUCUGUCAUGUUUUUUGUGUUUAGUGAUGUAUAAAUUUUCAUAUAGGAAGUAGACAAUUCAGUAAUUUGAUCAGUUUUCUAUUAUAGGUUGAUGUAUACGUUAUUUCUAUAAGCAUGCGAAAAUAGAGAAGAAACCUGAUGAAGACUUGUUCUGCCUAUUACCAUUCCCCAUGAUGAUAAAUAGCUAAUGCUUUUUUGCUAUAAGUCACUGUCUUGGUUUUCAAAUGACAAUGUAAUAUCACCUAUUUAUUUAUAAAAGAAACUGUGAAAAUAAGAAUUUGAUAAAGUAGUGGUAAAGAUAACGUAAAUGGUUCAAAUCAAUCUGAGUUGGAAGGUUGUAACAACUUUGAUAGGCACUUUUUCUGUCGUCCGCUAGUUUCGUACAUGAACCUUUUAUAAGUGAAGGUUUUCUACCAAUAGAACACUAUAUGUUGGUUCUUCUUUUGUACUUUUCUUCCUUUGGACAGAUUCACGUUACUUAUUAUUAUUUGACACUUUUCCUACUUCUAAAUCAUCCACCUAAAUUAUGUAUCCACCUAAUGAGACCUUUGGCUAAAGUGUGUUUACCUUUGAAAUCCUAACUCAUAGUGAGAUAACAAUGACAAAAUACUCAUUGUCAAAAUGACAGGGACUGCUUUCUACAUCUAUUGGUAACUCCUCUUCUCAACUUUAAUUUUUCCAUAACAUGUUCAUUUGUUAGAAUAUCAACAUUAAAAUUUAUGUUGUUAAUUUUUGUUAGAAUAUGAUUGGGAUUGCUUUCAAUGGUUAUACUUAUGAGAUCUUAGUUUACCUUUUCAAUGUUUUUAGUUUAUAGUUUCUCCUUACAGACUGUUAUAUCUUUAGGCUUAUUAAAAUAUUUUAUUUACUAUAUCAAUUUUCUAUACAUAGUUUAUGUUAGGGUAUAGAAUCAUGGCUAAUCAUGUUAAUUAAAUUAGUUAUUAUAUUAUUAUACUUUAUUGUGCACAUCUAAGAAUAAGUAUGGAGCAGGGUACUAUGAUAUAUCAGAUGAUUUUCCUGCAUGUUCUUGUCUUCUUGGAAAUAUAUUAGAAACUGUUGGAGUUGCUUUGUCUCAACCUCGUUCAAUAUGGUCUGAGAUAAAAUUAAUGUUGCAGAAUAUAGACUUUGUGGGUUAUAUAAAAGUGCUCAAGACCAAAAUAUUGAAGAAAGAUUAGCAAAAUCUUACUAAACAUUUAUGGUCCGUAUUGUGUAUGAACUUGAUAGGAUACCUCUCUUAAAAGAGUCUAUGAACACAGCGGAAGCACAAAGUGUUGAGAUGCAAGUGAAGGGCAACCAUGCACUAGGUAUCUGCUACUUCUUUCUACUUGUGGGACUAAGAAAAUCAAAGAAUUGCCUUGGAAACUUCAACAAAUUCAUCUUUGAAAAAGGAAAAUGAACUCCAUAUGAAAAUUACGAAGCUUGAGACCAACAUGAAGGAAUGAAGUUGGAAUAGGUGAGUUAUGGAAUCAUGUAGCUAACUAAAUUGGAGACUUAUUAAGUUUGGUAGAUUUUGUUGGUUUCCAAUAUCUGUUGGAGUUCAGGAAGGAACCAAAUGGUUUGGUUUCUAAAAUUAUAAAUGGCUUGCUAUCUGUUCUAGUUUUUGGUAGAAAUGGAAUGCGAUUUUCUUAAAAGCUGGAUUGAGGGAGGCGAAACAAGCGCUAAUUUAUAUCAAGACUUUGUCUUGGUCUUGUUUUGUAUCUUUUCAUAGUCACGAUUUUGAGUGGUGUUGUAAUCAGAUUUCUUGUUUCCAAAGAGUUUAUCUUGCUUGUAAGGGUUGAGUACCCCCUUUACUUUAUGAAUAUAUUUUGAUUCUAACAAAGUUGUAUUUUAGUUUUUUUUUUUGUAGUUUGUUGAAAAUAACUUAUACAAAUGUAAAUUAUUUUUGGGCUUACUACUUAAGUCUAAAUAUAGAAAUGUAUAAAUAAUUUGGUAUAUUUAGAAGGUAAUGUCUCUAUUCUAGAUUUUUUUUCUUUUUUUAAAAAAGUUUAGCCACGGUUAAUAAUUUAAAUUUAAAUAUUUUUGAAAGAUUUAACUACAGGAGAGGCGUGGCUAAAUUAUUUGUUAACCGUGGUAACAUAUUGUUACCACGGUAUCAAUAACGGUGGUUAAGAUAUUGGUAUUGAA